ACCCUAAUCCCCAUUCUCCUCUCCGCCGCCGCUCCUCCCUCGCCGUCGCCGGCUGCGCCCCUGCGCCGCCACCCCAUCUCGAGCCUCCUCCCCCUACGACCCCACUUCCUCCCGUCAUCCGCUCCCGCCCCCAGCGCCGGCAACGAGAGAGCCGGCGCAGCCAGGACCAUGGCGUCGCGGCCUGCCUGCUCGCCGGCGCGCGCGUGCACCCUAUGCGCGCGGCUCCGUCGAGCUGGCCGGACUCCGUCGCAGCUUGGCCGAUGCAGUGCUGCAGUGUUCCACGCCGGCGAGGUGUCUCCGGCCACCAGGACGCGCCGGCCGCCAAGUCGCGAGCUGCGGAAGGCCGUCGUCCUCCACGCGCUGCAAGGAGGGCGUCUCCUCGGAGGAGGGGAACCGCGCUGUUCGGUGGUCUCCCCCAGGCCCGCCAUUCCGGCAGCAGCUGCUCCUGUUUCCUCCGUCUGCGUGGAGAAUCAAAGGUUGCUGGGAGUCUGCCCGUGGCUGAUGAUGUCAUUGCCAGGAACUGAAGGAGGGUGGCUGGCUCGAGAUCAGGCGUCCACGGUGUGCAGGAGCAUGCCCGAAGGCCCACUGCGGCUACCUGGACGCUGUUCCGGAGAUCAUCGACAUCAGCAACAAAGAUAGGUCGAGCUGCUGCAUGUUAUUGAUUUUGUUGGACAGCUUCAAAACACCGAGAUCCAUUCAAGUUCACUCGCAGAUGCUUAUCCUGUCAAGGCAGUCGUACAGGAAGAUGCAUUUGAGCUGUGCAAGGACAACAGAUACAGCCAGCCAACAGGGAAGAGUGGGCUGUCAGCCGCAGAAAAUUGAUGACAUUGUACAACUCCAUGGGCUGCCAUGACUCCGACAUGGCUCUAACGACCACCUCCCCAACAAGCUACUGCCGAUGGCAACUUGGUUCAGUCAAGGAAAAAUUGUUGUGCGUUGGCAAUUUGGCAGUAGAUGUGUAGGAAAUAGUUGAAAGCAUGUCGGAGGAGGAUCUGAAGGGCGAGAACCGGCGUCGCAGUGGAACCGGGAGGAGGAGGUGUGGUGGCGAACACCAUCUGCGACAUCAAAUAGUGCAUCGUGGAGGCGCUCAGGUGGUUGUGAAUGGACUAGUCUACUGAUUGCGAUUGUUUUAGUGUACGGAGCUUCCACUUGUUCUUCUGGAUUUAACGAUUGAAUUGGUUCUAUAUUGGUUGGACAAUAGUUCAAAUGGUCCCGUAAAUCUCAAAUGGUUCCCUAAAUCUCAAAUGGUUCGGUCAUAAUUGAACUUUUGCUUACAGUAUCUCAUCCCCUUAUUAUUUUGUUGCAUGCAAAUGGUGUAGCGUGAUUCCAGUUAUGCCUAAGUUGGGAACAAUAGGUUCUUAAUUGUCGAUUGUUGGAUGCUUAAGUUGGGUACAUGUGCGUUUAUUAGUGGCUGUUAUUUGGAUCCUUCUAUAAAUAUAAGUGUUUUUUUUACCUAACCAUGCUUUGUUCUUGCUCGAGGAUAACUAGGAGGGCUAAACAAUGAGAGCGGUCGCCUUGGUGUGACCCCAUGUGUUUAGUACUGGAAUCGUGCCAUUGCAGGUACUAGUUGAUAUUCUCAGCAUUUAACAUGCUAGUCAAGCUGGACUGCGUGUUUGAAUGCAUCUAGAGGUGCAGCGAGGCAAGCCAACGGUGAAGCGCGGGCAAGGCAGACGCACCAAACGACGACAUUGUAGAACUGUGUUGCCGGCUAGCUCAGGCGGAGCCGCUGCCGUGCUGGCCUAGGACCGGUUGGGUAAUUGUGUUGGUGCUGUCAUAUUCAUCAUCCAGAGGUGGUAGUAGCCCGAUGAAUUGUGUGUGUAAUAAUAAUAUUCAUUCAUGCUCCGGAUGGCAGAGCAGAGUUUGUUGUACUGUAA